rnacentral:rRNA from 1 species
GAUGAACGCUGGCGGCGUGCCUAAUACAUGCAAGUCGAGCGAACAGACGAGGAGCUGGCUCCUCCGACUUUAUCGGCGGACGGGUGAGUAACACGUGGAUAGCCUACCUAUAAGACUUUGAUAACUACGGGAAACCGGGGCUAAUACCGGAUAAUAUAUUGAACCGCAUGGGGCAAUAGUUAAAUACGGUUUUGCGUGCACUUAUAGAUGAAUCCGCGCCGCAUGAGCUAGUUGGUGAGGUAAAGGCUUAGCAAGGCAACGAUGCGUAGCCGACCUGAAAGCGUGAUUGGAUACCCUGGAACUGAGAAUGGGCCGAGACUCCUAGGGGAGGACGCAGUAGAGACUCUUACGCAAUGGGGGAGAGCCUGACAGUGGAACGCGGGGUGAGUGCUGAAGGUCUUCGGAUCGUAAAACUCUGUUAUUAGGGAAGAACAAAUGUGUAAUUAACCAUGCACGUCUUGACGGUACCUAGUCAGAAAGCCACGGCUAACUCCGUG